GUGCCAGCAGCCGCGGUAAAACGUAGGUGGCGAGCGUUAUCCGGAUUUACUGGGCGUAAAGCGUGUGCAGGCGGGUGAACAAGUGGUGUAUGAAAUCGCUCGGCUAAACCGGGCGGGGUUAUGCCAGACUGUUCAUCUGGAGUGCGAGAGAGGGGCGUGGAAUUCCGGGUGUAGUGGUGAAAUGCGUAGAGAUCCGGAGGAACCCCAGAGGCGAAGGCGGCGCCCUGGCUCGCAACUGACGCUCAGACACGACAGCAUGGGGAGCGAACGGGAUUAGAAACCCCGGUAGUCC
rnacentral:rRNA from 1 species